CAAAUGGCCCUUUUCAGGGCCACAAAAUCUUAUGACUGGAAUAAAU
rfam:Camponotus floridanus CamFlo_1.0_4.contig1978, whole genome shotgun sequence.